rnacentral:rRNA from 1 species
ACGGGAAAGUUCCAGAGAUGGUUCCCCCGCAAGGUCCGUGCACAGGUGGUGCAUGGUUGUCGUCAGCUCGUGUCGUGAGAUGUUGGGUUAAGUCCCGCAACGAGCGCAACCCUUGUCUCAUGUUGCCAGCGGGUUAUGCCGGGGACUCAUGAGAGACUGCCGGGGUCAACUCGGAGGAAGGUGGGGAUGACGUCAAAUCAUCAUGCCCCUUAUGUCUUGGGCUUCACGCAUGCUACAAUGGCCGGUACAAAGGGCUGCGAAACCGUGAGGUGGAGCGAAUCCCAAAAAGCCGGUCUCAGUUCGGAUUGGGGUCUGCAACUCGACCCCAUGAAGUCGGAGUCGCUAGUAAUCGCAGAUCAGCAACGCUGCGGUGAAUACGUUCCCGGGCCUUGUACACACCGCCCGUCACGUCACGAAAGUCGGUAACACCCGAAGCCAGUGGC